UAGUCCUUGCCCAGUCUCUACCCUCAGUGCAGCAUUGGGAGACCAGGGAUAAUACUAACUCACUGUUUCUGUAUGGAAAUAUUGCAUUUUCCUUCAGUAAUAGUACAGACACAGUGGACUGAUUCAAAAGGUGCAGUUGUGAUGGUAAUGGGGACAUAGUUGGAAGAGAAGGAGCGUCCAAAGAGCAGAGCUACACCACUGACUGACAGACAACUUUCAAUCAUGAGUGACAACCUCUUCAACUAAGGAGUCCAAUACAAAAUGAGACAACACCUUCAACUAAAGAGGCUCUUCAAAGUAUUUGAUAACUAUUUCCGUGAUGGGUCAGCGACUGAGUGAGGAGAGUGACUCAGACCAGGAAAUUGAUGUUGCAGAGCUGCAGGAGUGGUAUAAGAAGUUUGUGGUGGAGUGCCCAAGUGGAACACUCUAUAUGCACGAGUUCAAGAGCUUCUUCGGUGUUACUAACAACGAGGCGGCGGAUUAUAUUGAGAAUAUGUUCCGCGCCUUUGACAAGAACGGAAGUAUGUUGCAGCCCUGAACCUGGUCUUGAGGGGCAAGUUGGAACAUAAACUGAAAUGGACUUUUAAAAUGUAUGACAAAGAUGGAAGUGGCUGCAUUGACAAGACAGAGCUGCUGGAGAUUGUAGAGUCCAUCUACCGACUGAAGAAAGCCUGUCAUGGAGUACUGGAUUCGGAGUGUAACCUCCUGACCCCAGAUCAAGUGGUCGACAGAAUAUUCGAACUGGUGGAUGAAAACGGAGAUGGUGAGGAUGUUUUCUUUACCCCCUUACUGUUCUCUGACAGCUUGAUCUGUGGUUUUAAUAAUUUAGCAGGUUCUCACUGUGAUUUCCAUACCAUUAUGGCUGUGUGUAACACACACAGACAUGUACAGUAUUUGCCAUUUAGUACUCUUUUAUCCAAAGCGACUUAGUCAUUAAUGUAACACAUUCCAGAGUAUUUUGAAAAUUGGACAAUGGGUGAGUAAUGUUUUUCCUUCGGUGUAUGUGUUUUAGUUUCACUAGUAAAUGGGUAAUGCUAAAUAUUUCUCUGUCUCUGGAUGAGUUCAUUGACGGGGCCAGGAGAGACAAGUGGGUGAUGAUGAUGCUGCAGAUGGACGUCAACCCUGGGGAAUGGAUCAAUGAACGGCGACGUAAGAGCUCUGGAGUGAGCUCUGAAGCUAGACCUCUGCAAUAAGUUUCUGGACUACUUUCAAUCAAAAGCUGAAUCCAUCUACCAGCAGCUUCAGCUAUCCUGUGCCGGCAGACACUACCACCAUGCCCACGUAGACCGUGGACGCUUGUCCAGAGGGGGCAAUCACUGCUCUAAUAACUCCCUCUCUCCCUGUAAACAGCCCACACACCAUAACUUGUCACGUGUUUUAUAACCUUUGUUUUCUCUUUUGAAAUCCCUAAUGUGUACAUAUCAAUGUGUUUCUGUUUGCCCUGAUGGUUGUGUGUGUUCCACUACUAUUGAUUGCAUUUUGUAUGUGCAGGCAACAGUGAAAGGGACCAGUUUUCUCCAUCUAAUUAUAUGAUUGAAAGACAUCAUGUAGGGGCAGAUCGUAGAGUUCAUUUUGCUGUGUUUUGCUGGUAAAAAAAUGCAUCCAUCUGAUUUGGGGGCUUAUACUUGAUGAGGUUCUGAGAGUUUCAAUAGAGCUGACAAUAUAGUACGCCAGUCUUAUUGAAAUCCAUAUUUAUUGAAACUUGAAAUCCAUAUAUAUUUGAACAGUAAAUGUGUAUGAAGAUGCAUAAU